rnacentral:tRNA from 1 species
GGCCUCGUGGCGGAGUGGUGACGCAGCGGCCUGCAAAGCCGUGUACGCCGGUUCGAUUCCGGCCGAGGCCUCCA